AUAAAAAAGUUUCUGGAGUAUUGGAUCAGACUUUUAAAUAACUUGGCAAUAAACAAAAGCUGCCAUUUGGAACAAUUUCCAAAAAAAUAUUCAAAGACAUACAGUAUUGGGAAGUAACUAACCGACACCACCUACUAAAAAUUGUUCACUUACGAAAAGACAAACAUUUUUAUUUAAUAAUCGAGCAGAAUAUUUUUCGGAUUAAAUUGCAAUAGAGAAAAACUACAAUUUGGAAUAGUUGGAAAGUUACACACCGCCACCACCCCAUAAAAAAUGUUUUCAUUAGUAAAAUUUGACAAUGACAAGCUUUCAAUUGUGAAUUCAAAAAAUGUGGAUAAAAUAAUUAAAGGGACAUGCGUCGUAAAAUACAAUGGUGGAAAAUAUGCGGCGCUACUUGUUGCUCAAAAUGCAUCACCUUUCGGCAAAACCAAAAGAACCAGGUGGAACUCGGAGGAAAAAGAUGCAAUAUAUUCAAUAUUUGGAGAUUUAAAAGAUUUAGAAAGACUACCAAAUCUUAAGGAAUGCUUAAAAGCCAUUCAGACAUCGUCAGCACUUAAGAAUAGAACGCCACAACAAAUAAAAACUUGGAUAGACAAUCAAAGGCGGUACAAAAUGGACUAACUUACAAUUAAAGUGUAUUUUCGCAGAAAUUCUACGAUGACUGGCGAUAUUUUUGAAGGAAAACUAAAUUCCUAUAUGAUUUGUCUAGUGUACCAUGGAUCCUAAUCGCUAUAUUUGUCGAAAUUUAAUACAAAAUUUAUAUAACAAAAAUAUAAAAGAAUAAAGUGUGAACACUUUUAUAGAAAAUGUAAA